rnacentral:lncRNA from 1 species
GCUAAAUCUUCCAUACCUGUCAAUUCCUUCCCAGUUUAAAAAAACCACUGGAAUAGCAGGCGAGCCAAUUAAAUGGGUAUGAAUCUGAAACUCAGGUUAUAAACUAGUGUCUGUAUUUUCAAGCGAUAUGCUGCUGCUGCUGCUGCACUGCUUCAAUCGUGUCUCAGGUAAUACUUUUUCCUUUAUU